AUGUACUUCACAAAGUUCACACACAUGUGCAUGUUUCCAUGUGCCUGUGGCGGAAAAAAGGAAAAGGGGAUGGAUGCAUGUUUCCAUGGGGAUCUUGAAGGUCAAAGGGGUGCAUAUGUGCUGCUAACUCAUCAAACCAAAUCUAUAGCCUGGAAAAAAAAGGCCGCCCCUCACUCACUCACAUGCAUGCACCCAUUAAAAAGGUCAAAGGAACACUUUUUUUUCCUGCUCCUCCUCCUCCUUCUUGUUCUUAUUUCUUCAUUAUUAUUGUGGACGGACUGUUUUGUCACGGUUGAACUGCUAUUUGAGAGAGAAUAUUUAUGA
rnacentral:rRNA from 1 species